GAUGAACGCUGGCGGCGUGCCUAAUACAUGCAAGUCGAGCGAACAGAUGAGGAGCUUGCUCCUCUGACGUUAGCGGCGGACGGGUGAGUAACACGUGGAUAACCUACCUAUAAGACUGGGAUAACUACGGGAAACCGGAGCUAAUACCGGAUAAUAUAUUGAACCGCAUGGUUCAAUAGUGAAAGACGGUUUUGCUGUCACUUAUAGAUGGAUCCGCGCCGCAUUAGCUAGUUGGUAAGGUAACGGCUUACCAAGGCAACGAUGCGUAGCCGACCUGAGAGAGUGGUCGGCCACACUGGAACUGAGACACGGUCCAGACUCCUACGGGAGGCAGCAGUAGGGAAUCUUCCGCAAUGGGCGAAAGCCUGACGCAGCAACGCCGCGUGAGUGAUGGAGGUCUUCGGAUCGUAAAGCUCUGUUAUUAGGGGAGAACAAAUGUGUAAGUAACUAUGCACGUCUUGACGGUACCUUAUCAGAAAGCCACGGCUAACUACGUG
rnacentral:rRNA from 1 species